GACGAACCGAGCGAACGUUAUUCGGAAUCACUGGGCUUAAAGGGCGCGUAGGCGGGCCGUCAAGUCAGGGGUGAAAGCCCCCAGCUCAACUGGGGAAGUGCCUCUGAUACUGGCGGCCUCGAGCGAGGUAGGGCGUGCGGAACUUCCGGUGGAGCGGUGAAAUGCGUAGAUAUCGUUUGGAACGCCGAUGGUGAAAACAGGUCGCUGGGGCUGUGCUGGACGCUGAGACACGAAAGCCAGGGGAGCGAACGGG
rnacentral:rRNA from 1 species